rnacentral:rRNA from 1 species
CCCUUAGAUGUUCUGGGCCGCACGCGUGCUACACUGAGUAAUUCAAUGGGUAAGGGAACGCUAGAGCAUUACCUAAUCUUGAAAUUUGCUCGUGAUGGGGAUCGACGGUUGCAAUUUUCCGUCGUGAACGAGGAAUACCUUGUAGGCGCAUGUCAUCAUCAUGCGCCGAAUACGUCCCUGCCCUUUGUACACACCGCCCGUCGCUCCUACCGAUUGAGUGAUCCGGUGAGGCUCUGGGACCUGGACGGAAAGAGCGUUUCGCUUGUUCUAUUUGGGAAACUUGGUCGAACCUUAUCAUUUAGAGGAAGGAGAAGUCGUAACA